UAUGAUCCUUGCUCCACUCCCUUCAGCCUGAAAUAGGGUUAUGUCAAGGGAGAGGUUCCUUGCUGGGAUCUUUUAAUGGAUUUCUCUGUACAGUUGCCACAGUCCUAAUGCCUCAGGUGGAUCCUUUUUUGGUAAGAAAGUGCAUUUACAGUUGUGUGUCUCUGCACCCUUCUUGGGCAACGAUAAAAAAGAAAAAGAAAACCCAAUGUGUGCACACACCUAUCUGAUGGAUUCCCUGUCAGUACUGUACUUAAUCAGCAAUAGAGAAUCAUCAAAUUAGACAGUGGGGACAUACUCAAAAGGCAACGCCUACUGGUAUGAACAAGAAAGACUUAAGUUGCUCAUAUACAAAGUCAAAUACGUGUGGAUGUGGACUGCUUUGGUCUAAUUUGAAUGGGAGGAAGGUGAAUUAAGAGCUAAAUAAUGUUCAAAUGUGGACAAGCCUUUUUUCCCCUGUAGAGGGUUGCGUUACUUCAGAGGAAAUCUGUCAGCCGCCACUGCAUCUGAAAGCAUUUCUCUGUUACUCCUUUUUACUUCCCCCCCCUGUAAAUCUCUUUUUCUUUAUUUCUCUGACAUCUCUUUAUCUCUUCUUCCUUGCAUAGUGGACUUACCAGGAGAGAUUGCUCAUGUCAGAGGUCUGAAGUUGCAGAGGGCUUUUGAAUUAAGAAAAAGUCUAUGUAAAAUGUAGCCUAGGGCCAUGGAUUGACCACCAUUGUUUCGGGGUGGGGGGAUCUUAGUGAUUGUCCCUCAAUCUGACUGCCCCCCCCCCCAUUCUUCAAGGCAGGGACUACUAGGCUGCUCUGUGGGACCUGUUUCUCUGGUGACACAUCACUGCGCCAGGUUGGGAAUUAUACACAAACACAAAACAUACAAAUGUGUUGAUUAAAAAAACUCAGUUCAUCACUGCCAAGUAUACUACAUUGUAGGUACAUCACUUUCCAUCUUCAGAGUUGCUUUUGAAAGGAAUUUUAAUAUAUUUUUAAGGCUGGGUGGGGACCCACUUGCAAAUGAAAUCAUUCUGGUGCAGUUCCUGGUCAGCUGAGUACACGGCUGCAACUUUAGCAACAGCAUUGCUGUCAUACUUUAUUUACUCAUCUCAUAAUAAAACUAAAUCGGCUGGACGUGGAUUUUUGGUCUUUUGUUUCAACAUCUCCACCCCACCCACCAGUGUCUGCGCUAUAGUUCUGAAAUAAUACACUGUCUAGGAUGUCUUAAUGGCUCUUUUCCGCUCGCUAUCCUAUAUUUGCUGCAGUCACAAGUGGCAUGUUCCAGGCUAAAAGGCGGAUGUUUUUCACUUCAGUUGUGAAAAAAAGCCCUAGGGCUUUGUAAAAUAGUUUUAGAGGAAUCUAGUUUUGUCAUCUUUACUGUGAAGUGGACAGGGUGCAGUUCUCCAGUUACACUGCCUGUAAAUGGUGAAAUUGCUGGGGCAUUCCAGGCUGGAGCACCUUAGCCAGCGAAGCCAGAGGAAGAAACCAUGUCAGAAUGUUGCCUGUAUUAUUUAAUCAUGCUAGGACUAACCAGCAUUGGAAAACCAGUGCUAACAAUGGGAGGGUAUGCUCAUCAGAUCUCCAGGCAUUCCACAUAUGAGAUUGUAAUUCCUCAAAGAUUGACUGACAGGGUGAAGCGCUGGACGCAUUCUCAUAAGGAGUAUUUAGAUCAUCAGCUGUCUUACUUGAUCCAAACUGGAAACGGAACACAUAUCCUGAGAUUAAAGAAAAAUAAAAACCUUAUAGAUGAGAAUUUCAUACUAUAUACCUACAGAAAAGAUGGCAAAUUGGAGACUACUCCCUUCGAAGCGAAGGCCCACUGUUAUUACCGUGGAGUUGUUGAAGGGAUUGAGGACUCUCUGCUUGCUCUCAGUACCUGUGAUGGUCUUAGGGGAAUGCUCCAUAUUGGCAGCAAGCGAUAUGGCUUGGAACCAGUCAAUGGAUCAGAUCGAUUUGAGCACUUCUUCUAUGCAUUAGAAAACUCUCCCCAUGAGCCCUUUUCAUGUGGUGUGCCAAAUGAUGACCACGAGCAGAGCACAAAGACUUUUCUCAAAUACACAAAUAUCUCACACAGUCCCUUCAAGUCGGACAAAAUUCUAAGGAGAAGGCGAGCUGUUCUGCCAGAGAAAAGAUAUGUCGAACUGUAUAUGGUUGUUGAUAAAAACAGGUACUUGCGGAAGAAAUCUGAUGCUGAAGCUGUACAAAAGGAAACAGUAGAACUGGUUAAUUAUGUUGAUGGGAUGUUCAGUCCUUUAAAUAUUCAAGUUGUCCUAAUUGGGCUAGAAAUAUGGACUCAAGGAAACCCUAUAGAUGUGGAUAGUGGUUCAGCUGGAGAUGUGCUGGGCAAAUUCGCAUCCUGGAGGGAGACAAAUCUCCUGAAGAGAUCACGAAAUGAUGUCAGCCACCUCAUCAUAGGGAGAAGUGCAUUUGGUGCAACGGUUGGAAUGGCUUUUGUUGGCACAGUCUGUAGUCCGAAUCACGGAGGGUCAAUCAGCACAUUUAACCAUGACGCUGUGAUAGCUCACGCUACAGUUGUUGCACAUGAGCUAGGACACAAUUUGGGAAUGAAUCAUGAUGACGGAAGAUGUCCAGGUCAAUACAUUAUGCACGGUUCAGAUAAUGGGUCCAAGAACUUCAGCAGCUGCAGCGCCAAUGAUUUUGAGGACCUCAUCUUGAGAGGCCGAGGAACCUGUCUUCGAAAUCCUCCCAAGCCAAGUGAUAUUUAUACAGAGCCCGCCUGUGGCAACAACAUUGUGGAUAAAAAUGAAGAAUGUGAUUGUGGCACACCAGAAGAGUGUACCAACCCUUGUUGCGAUGCUGCCACGUGCAAACUAAAAGCUGGAUCAGAGUGUGCUGAAGGAUUGUGCUGUGAGAAGUGUCAAUUCAAGGUUGCAGGAGUGCAGUGCAGGCCAAAAAUGACUGCCUGUGAUCUCCCUGAGUAUUGCAAUGGAACAUAUCCCAACUGCCCAGAUGAUGUGUAUAUCAUGGAUGGCUACCCAUGCAACGAUAUGAAAGACUAUUGCUAUGCUGGAAUUUGUCAGAAUUAUGAUUCUCAGUGUGAAUCCCUCUUUGGAAAGGGAGCAAAGAAAGGGCCAAAUGCGUGUUUUGAAACAGCCAAUAGUAAUGGAGACAGGCUCGGCAACUGUGGAAUGUCAAAAGGAGAGUUUGUUAAAUGUUCUCAAGCCAAUAGCCUAUGUGGCAAGAUUCACUGCACAUCUGUCAGUCAACAGAAUCUUCCAUCCCAGAUAUACAGCCAGAUUCAAAAUGGCGUUAGGUGUGUGACUACUGAUUUUGCUCUGGGAUCAGAUGUUCCCGAUCCAGCUUUGGUUAACAGAGGCACAGCUUGUGCAGAAGGGAAGGCCUGUGUUGAUUUCAAGUGUGUCAAUGCAAGCCUGCUUGGCUACAAUUGUGAUGUAAAGAAAACAUGCAAUGACCGUGCAGUAUGUAACAACAAAGGCAAUUGUCACUGUGAUCCUGGAUGGGCACCUCCUUAUUGUGACAAAUCUGGAUACGGUGGUAGCAUAGACAGUGGCCCAACUCACAUAGAUACAUCACUUCGUGAUGGCCUGCUGGUGUUUUUUCUGCUUGUGUUGCCUCUGCUAAUUAUAGUAGCGGUUGCAAUUGUCAAGAGGGAUGCAAUUAAAAGACGUAUUUUCAGAGGACGGAGAAGGCGCCAAAGGGCUGAAAAUGCACGGCAAACAGGACAAAGCAGCACUCCAGGUGGACCAAAGCCACCAGUAAAUAAUAGGCGGGUAAGAAUGUUUAUUUUUUUCAUUGCAAUGUCUUCUUUGAAGUUACUGCUGAUGAAUGAAGUUUGGGCUAAUGUUUCGGCUCUCCAUAGGCGCUGUGAAUUUGACAAUGAUUUUCCAUUCAGAAAUGCAAUUCUGCAGAAGGUUAGAUCAGUUACAUUAAAACAGUGCAUGGUAUUUUGCUAGAAUGAAAAGAUGCAGUAAGUUUCACUGCUGUGGUAAGAACCAUUAAUUCUCCUUACGAUAUAUUUCUUUUCCCUCUGCAGCCUACGACGUCAAAUUCUGGAAUCUUUACGAUAUCACACUUUCCUGCUCCAAGGCCACCCAUACAAGCAAACCUUGGGCCACGUCCAUCAAGACCUCCUUUACGACCACCAAUCC